rnacentral:pre_miRNA from 18 species
CUACUGAGAUUGUGUGACCUGUGGGCUUCCCUUUGUCAUCCUAUGCCUGGAGAUCACAGUGAGGCAGGGACAGCAAAGGGAUGCUCAGCUGUCGUCUCUUCC